ensembl:scaRNA
AGAGGAGCUGUAAGGUGUGUAGACAUAUGAGAAAACACCUUUUGUCUAUGUAAGGCAGCAAUCCUACAUAAAUAUGGAGAUCUCUGUCUAACUUAGAACAGCUUCCAUACAAC